rnacentral:rRNA from 1 species
UUGCCAUCGGAUGUGCCCAGAUGGGAUUAGCUAGUAGGUGGGGUAACGGCUCACCUAGGCGACGAUCCCUAGCUGGUCUGAGAGGAUGACCAGCCACACUGGAACUGAGACACGGUCCAGACUNCUACGGGAGGCAGAAGUGGGGAAUAUUGCACAAUGGGCGCAAGCCUGAUGCAGCCAUGCCGNGUGUAUGAAGAAGGCCUUCGGGUUGUAAAGUACUUUCAGCGGGGAGGAAGGGAGUAAAGUUAAUACCUUUGCUCAUUGACGUUACCCGCAGAANAAGCACCGGCUAACUNCGUGCCANNAGCCGNGGUAAUACGGAGGGUGCAAGCGUUAAUCGGAAUUACUGGGCGUAAAGNGCACGCANGCGGUUUUGUUAANUCANAUGUGAAAUCCNCGGGCUCAACCUGGGAACUGCAUCUGAUACUGGCAAGCUUGAGUUUCGUAGANGGGGGGUAAAAAUUCCAGGUGUAGCGGUGAAAUGCGUAGAGAAUUGGAAGAAUACCGGU